rnacentral:rRNA from 1 species
UACGGGGGGAGCAAGCGUUGUUCGGAUUUACUGGGCGUAAAGGGCGCGUAGGCGGUCAGCACAAGUCAGUUGUGAAAUCUCCGGGCUUAACCGAAGGUACGUCAACUGAUACUGUGCGACUAGAGUGCGGAAGGGGCAACUGGAAUUCUCGGUGUAGCGGUGAAAUGCGUAGAUAUCGAGAGGAACACCUGCGGCGAAGGCGGGUUGCUGGGCCGACACUGACGCUGAUGCGCGAAAGCCAGGGGAGCGAACGGG